rnacentral:rRNA from 1 species
AGCGAACGCUGGCGGCAGGCCUAACACAUGCAAGUCGAGCGGCCGUAGCAAUACGGCAGCGGCAGACGGGAGAGUAACACGUGGGAACGUACCCUUUGGUUCGGAACAACCCAGGGAAACUUGGGCUAAUACCGGAUAAGUCCGUAAGGAGAAAGGUUUAUCGCCAAAGGAUCGGCCCGCGUCUGAUUAGCUAGUUGGUGAGGUAAUGGCUCAUCAAGGCGACGAUCAGUAGCUGGUCUGAGAGGAUGAUCAGCCGCACUGGGACUGAGACACGGACCAGACUCCUACGGGGGGCAGCAGUGGGGAAUAUUGGACAAUGGGCGCAAGCGUGGUCCAGCCAUGCGGCGUGGAUGAUGAAGGCCGUAGGGUUGUAAAGUCCUUUCGGCGGGGAAGAUAAUGACGGUACCCGCAGAAGAAGCCCCGGCUAACUUCGUGCCAACCGCCGCCGUAA